CUCCCGUCCUCCCUCGCCUCCUUCCGCACGGAGGGACGGACGGUGGGAUGGGGAGAGAAGUUUGCCAGCGGCGCGCUUCGCUCAACAUUAAACUGUAUUUCAUUUUGGGGGGAAACAGCAACAAGAGGAGCCCCGCGGAGAAGCUUUCCAGGGAAUGCUGAGGGAAUAUCCGAGAGCUGAGACACACACGCCGCUCACAGCUGACCCCCUUUAUUGACUCCUUUGAUUAAAUAUAAAACAAGAGAAAUCAUUAAUGUCUCCGAACUAAAGGGAAGAACUAAAGGCUCGGGUCCAGUCGGAGGGUGCCUUUUAAUUUAAUUUGUGGCGGAAGAAGACGAGCAAAGCGAAACAAGAAAAAAAGACGACCUUCCGAGUGAGGCAAAACAACAAAGAGUCCGACUCAGGAUGAAUAACAACAAAAUAGAGAAGGAAAACGAGCAGAGUGAAUUCACCAACCACGAAGAGGAGGUCCGAACACUAUUCGUCAGUGGGCUACCGCUGGAUAUCAAACCACGGGAGCUCUAUCUCCUCUUCAGACCAUUUAAGGGUUACGAAGGAUCCUUGAUAAAGCUCACUUCUAAGCAGCCAGUGGGGUUUGUCAGCUUUGACAGCCGAUCAGAGGCAGAGGCUGCUAAGAAUGCCUUGAACGGUGUCCGUUUUGAUCCAGAGAUUCCCCAAACUCUGCGGCUGGAGUUCGCCAAGGCCAACACCAAGAUGGCUAAAAACAAGCUGGUCGGCACGCCCAACCCCCCUCCCUCCCAGCAGAGCCCCGGCCCUCAGUUCAUUAGCAGAGAUCCAUAUGAGCUCACAGUGCCUGCUCUAUAUCCCAGCAGCCCAGAUGUGUGGGCGUCAUACCCGCUGUACCCGGCAGAGCUGUCGCCGGCCCUUCCACCCGCUUUCACCUAUCCCUCCUCGCUCCACGCUCAGAUUCGUUGGCUCCCACCUGCAGAUGGAACUCCUCAGGGAUGGAAGUCCAGGCAGUUCUGCUGAAGUUCCUGAUGUGUGAUGGUGGCCGUGGCCGGCUGUGACGGGCUUUGCUGUUUGCCUCUUUUCCUUUUAGAAAUUAGGAGAAUUGACCUGCUUCCAGAUCCUGCAGCAGCGCACCGUCGGCAGCAGCAGCCUUAUGGGCUUCAGGACAUACUAGACCCCAGCCUCCAUCGCACAUCAAGCACCCGUCCCGAACCUCUUCCCGAAGUCUUUGCAACUCUAUUAGAUUUUUUUAUACUGUUACAUACUCGAGCUUUUAGAGGCAGCACUUUGGCUACACCUCCUCUGACUCGUGCGAUGGAAACGGUCCGUGUUUUCCGACGGCGUCGCGUACGGAAAGACCACCGGAGGAGAUCCAUGGAAGUGUGGCCAAAGUGCUAUUGAGUAAUGUUGUUAUAAUACUAGAAUUAUUACUAUUCUGUAUAUCAUUCAUAUCAAUGUUAUUAUAAUAAAUACAUGUCGAAGCAUGACUUUGCAAAAAAAAGAAAAAAAAGAAAAAUGAAAAAUAAAAAACAACAAUGCUGUACAUUUUUAGAUAUUUUAAAGAAGUACAAAAAAGUAUUUUUGUAAUCAAGACAAUGUUGAAAUGUUUUGAUCGGUUCAUGUUGUGUAUGAGAAAUUGUCAUACCUUGAUUUUUGCCUUUUUUGUGUGUUUUGUGCCAUUUAUAAAAUUACAAGUUGUCCUUCCAUACCAAAGCAGUCAUAUCAGUUUGCCUCCUUGUCUUUUCUACGCAAAUCUGUGGAUGUUGGUUUGCUCAUUUUGUCCUUUUUCUCUUUUUUUUCUUUUCAUUGAGCCUGAGUUAAAUCAGAAGUCCCUUUUUUUGCGCUGUAGGCUGUCAUAAUCAGACGUGCUAGUGGAGGCAUCAACAGGAUUAAAGCCAUCGCCGGUGAAAGUAAAAAAAAGUGACCCCAGAGACGGCAACGACUGGCAAACUCAACUCCACUAUUAUUAGAAAUCUGCUCCUUCAUUUUGUAGCAAGAGGACAACAGAUAAGUACAGAGAAACAAAAAGACCAAAGGCUUUUUUUUUUUUUUCUUAUGCUGGUGUGCUAUUUAGAAUUCAAUGUCUGACUGCUUUGUAGUCCUUGGUUUGAUUUUUCUUAUGAAGUAAGAUAUUAUUUUUGCUGCAUGUCCCUCUUGGUGUCACUCCAAAGAGUCCUUCAGCAACUGAAAGAAUUUUCACUUUAAGCGAUUUGUCUCUUUUGUCUAUUUUUAGGAGUCAACUUGCUUUUGUCGAGUUUGUGUUUGCAUACUAAUGAUCGAGAUGAGUGGGGGGUGGGGAUAAUUUCUAAUCUGGUGUCUUUCUGCAAUAACACCUGCUGUGCAACAUAUCAUGAACUGAUCAUGUUUCUGUGACAUUUUUAAUGACAAAAUUAUGAUGCUCGUCCCAUUUGUGCAAAAAUCGAGCUCUUGUACUCGAUUCUUGUACUUUUCUGAUAAAGUCACAUAUACUGAUGUGGCGCUAAAGGAAGAAAAAAAAAAAAAGCACUGAAAUGCUGUUAGAAGUAAACAAUACUCCCUGUGAUCUUUAAACCCGGAUGUUUAAGACCAUCUAGGACGAGUUGAGUCAUGUACAUUUCUCAGUGUUUCUUCAUGUUGAAUAAUAAUAUGCAUCAUAUAACGGUGGACCAUAUCACCUGAGUACAUGAAGACCUUUUCUUUUUCUCUUGCUUUUACAAUUUUAAACCAAGUGUGGAGCCAAAUUUAUUAGAACAAGUAUUUAUAAAAAAAAAAAGUGUGAGUGUGUUUUUUUUCUUUUCUUUUAAAAGAUCAUAGAAGAUGCCUAUUGUAUGAUUCACUGUAAGUAUUAUUGUAAGUUCAAUUGUAUAAUCAUUUGAUCAUUUUUCUAGGGCUUCUUUUGGUUUGUAGCUGUCUGAUUGGAACAGUCUGUGAUUGAUAUGUGAAUACUCCUAUAAUUCACUGUGAAAGUCGGAGAACAAAUAGAUCUUUUCAUGCUUUUCCAGCCUUAUGGUACAUAAAUUUCCUGGAGGUUGAUGAGAUGAUCCCUCUGUUAAUGAAAGAUAUUUCUUUGCUUGGUUCAGUGUGUGUAACUGUGUGUUGUGCAUGCUCACGGCAUGUUUGUUCUUUUUCUUAAUGCUUACAGUGCUGUUGAUAUUUAUGUACUUUAGCCACUGUGAGGAGGUAUUGGACCUCAGUGAGUUGCGGAAAUUUGUUGGUUUGAAACACACACACACACAAAAAAAGAUGAUCAAAUGGAGCCGUUUUUAUGAAUAUGUUAAAUGAAGACAUUUCGGUCCAUCUGCCAUUAAAGAUUGAGAUUAAA